GAAUAAUAUCAGAUGCUUUAUAAAGAGUUAUCUUCCUUGUAUUGUAAGCAAAAUCCACCCAAUGGUAGCCAUAUAUUUCAUUCCUUAGUUGCAUUGUUUUUAAUUUGCUAACACCUCAGCUCAUUUUUUCAUGAUACUCCUUUGUUUGUUUUUUGUUAGACAACAAAUAUUGUUCUGUUAUCAUUUUUUUUAAUUAUCUAUGUUUUAUCCAUGGCAAAUGCACAAUUUUUUUUCCAUUGAAAAUUGAUAAAAUUGUUGCCGAAUUUGAAGUCGAAUUGUACAUAGAUGAUUUGUAUAUAGAGGAAUAAUAAACUAUUUAAAGAUG
rnacentral:sRNA from 1 species